AAUGAGAUUGAACUUCAGCUGGAUUGAAAGAGAGGCUAGAAGUUCCGCUUGCCAGCAGCCUCCUUAGUAGAGCGGAAUGAGUAAUACCCACACGGUGCUUGUCUCACUUCCCCAUCCGCACCCGGCCCUCACCUGCUGUCACCUCGGCCUCCCACACCCGGUCCGCGCUCCCCGCCCUCUUCCUCGCGUAGAACCGUGGGAUCCUAGGUGGCAGGACUCAGAGCUAAGGUAUCCACAGGCCAUGAAUUCCUUCCUAAAUGAGCGGUCAUCGCCGUGCAGGACCUUAAGGCAAGAAGCAUCGGCUGACAGAUGUGAUCUCUGAACCUGAUAGAUUGCUGAUUUUAUCUUAUUUUAUCCUUGACUUGGUACAAGUUUUGGGAUUUCUGAAAAGACCAUACAGAUAACCACAAAUAUCAAGAAAGUCGUCUUCAGUAUUAAGUAGAAUUUAGAUUUAGGUUUCCUUCCUGCUUCCCACCUCCUUCGAAUAAGGAAACGUCUUUGGGACCAACUUUAUGGAAUAAAUAAGCUGAGCUGUAUUUCAAGUAAUAUAGUUAUAAAUUAACAAUGUAGCAGUUAUUGAUAGAGAAAUUGAGAAAACUGAAACGUGACCGGAGUAUUGGAAAUAACGUAGUACAUCACCUAGCACAAUGACACAUAGUAGGUGCUCAAUAAAUUUAUGCUUAUAAUUUUUGUCACUUCUAUGGCAGGAUUUUUUUAUUAGGUUAAAAUUAUCUUUUAAACACCUUCCGGAAUUUUAGAAUAUUCAUUAAUAAUGUCUUCAAACCUUUCAACUGAAAUAAAUUUACAGCUGAAGUCUGAUGAUUUAAAGUUAGAAAGUUUAAUCUUGAAUAUAAAUGAACAUUUUCUCUCCCACAUUUUCUUGGGCAUUUUGAGAAGUAAAUGCGUUAUUUAUUGGUCCAUGAAAUGUGACUGUAAAUAUUCUUUGCUAUACAUUAUGUCUAUAUAUCUGCAUUCAUCCUCAAUGCCAAAACUAGAAUCAUUAGUCUUAAUGAUCAUUUUAAGUACAGGCAGUCCUCGCUUUCCUUGAUACCAUGUUAACCGAAACUUGUGUAUGUCAACACGGUGUCCUUGCUUUGCUUGGUUAAGUGUGAGUUCUUCCUCCCUUUUUUUAAGAGUUGUACAAUGUUUUUCAGUCGCCUACCGAAUCAGGUCAUAGACUAUGGAAUUGACCCCACCCCACCAACAUUUUUACAGCUACCCUGAUUUCUGACCAGAAAGGAAAAAAAAACUUUCCAGCUCUAUCACACAUUUUACCUACUCUUAAACUUAGGAGGUAUUACAAAUAGCAUUUUCUCAUGUUCUCUUUCUGGCCUGUACCUCCCUGCUAAGCUUCCUUCAGUGUUCAUCCUCACCUCAUAGAGAGAUGAAGUGAAGAGACAAACAGAAGUCAUUUUCUUCCUUACUUUAGUGGUUUCUGGUUUAGUUAGUUUGGGCCAAACUGUGGACAAGUACCUUUUCAGGUAACUUUUUUUUCUUAUUUCUAUGUCCUCAACACCUAGUGGAGUACGUAGCCAAUAGUAGAUGCUUAAUAAACAUUUCUUAAAUUAAUAUUGUUGACCUUUUCUGACCCUGUUCUUGACAGUAAGGUACAUAAUCUGCCUUCAUCCCUUUAGUCCUUAGGAACAGAUAAAGUCAUGGAUAUGAAAGUGAUCACUGUCAUUAAUAUCCACAUUAAAAUUGCUCUUGAUUUUAGUUUCUCCAUAAUCAUUUUCCCUAAACAAUGAACUCUGUUCACCUUUUUUUUUAAAAUAUGCACAGUGAAUAUUACUGGUAGCCCAAAUCUUCUAACAUAAAAUUUCCAUUUUGUAAAAGCUUCUGAUAAGCAUAUAUGUUAUGAAUUGAAUGUUUGAUUAUUAUACUUUAAUAUUCUUGAAAAUAUUGAUACCUGGACUGGAAAGAAAACAGACAAAAGUAAAUCUCAGAAUAAAUUACUGCUUUAAACAUGAUGCAUGUGUGAC
rnacentral:lncRNA from 1 species